rnacentral:misc_RNA from 1 species
AGUAAAAUAGUACGUGAAAUUGUUGAAAGGGAAACGAUUGAAGUCAGUCGUACCGACGAGAAAUCAGCUCUUUGAGUGCGAACUUGUGGGCGUGCGUGAGUCUUUAACGGGCCUCGCUGUUUGCAAUUUUGUGCUUUUUGGGUGUACUUUUUCGUAUGGUAGGCCAACGUCAGUUUUGAUCACCGUAAAAUGAUCGGAGGAAUGUAGCUUCGAUCUCGUAUUGAAGUGUUAUAGCCUCUGGAAGAUGCGGUGACCGAAACUGAGGAUUGCAACGAAUACCCUUUUGGGCUAUCCGUCUGGCCUCUGAAAGUUGCUUAGGUGCCGAAAGCGUGCUUACGGCUAUUUAAGUUGACGGUCAACAGGUUAGAACGUGAUUACAUUCGUUAAGGACGUUGGCGUAAUGGCUUUAAA